UAAAGAAAGCGUAAUAGCUCACUGGUCGAGUCGGCCUGCGCGGAAGAUGUAACGGGGCUAAACCAUGCACCGAAGCUGCGGCAGCGACACUCUGUGUUGUUGGGUAGGGGAGCGUUCUGUAAGCCUGUGAAGGUGUGCUGUGAGGCAUGCUGGAGGUAUCUGGACGGGCGGAUGGGCAGGUGCGAAGGAGUAAAGCGGGGCAAAGCACCCGCGCCGCGGC
rnacentral:rRNA from 1 species